GUGAGUCAUCGAAUCUUUGAACGCACAUUGCGCCCUUUGGUAUUCCGAAGGGCAUGCCUGUUCGAGCGUCAUUAUAACCACUCAAGCCUGGCUUGGUAUUGGAGUUCGCUAUCGGCGGCCCUUAAAAUCAGUGGCGGUGCCUGUAGGCUCUACGCGUAGUAAUACUUCUCGCUAUAGGGUCCUGCGGGUGACUUGCCAACAACCCCUAGUUUUUUAAGGUUGACCUCGGAUCAGGUAGGGAUACCCGCUGAACUUAAGCAUAUCAAUAAGCGGAGGA
rnacentral:misc_RNA from 1 species